GACGAACGCUGGCGGCGUGCUUAACACAUGCAAGUCGAACGGAAAGACCCUGCUUUUGUGGGGAGCUCGAGUGGCGAACGGGUGAGUAACACGUGAGUAACCUGCCCUUGACUUUGGGAUAACUUCAGGAAACUGGGGCUAAUACCGGAUAGGAGCUCCUGCUGCAUGGUGGGGGUUGGAAAGUUUCGGCGGUUGGGGAUGGACUCGCGGCUUAUCAGCUUGUUGGUGGGGUAGUGGCUUACCAAGGCUUUGACGGGUAGCCGGCCUGAGAGGGUGACCGGCCACAUUGGGACUGAGAUACGGCCCAGACUCCUACGGGAGGCAGCAGUGGGGAAUAUUGCACAAUGGGCGGAAGCCUGAUGCAGCAACGCCGCGUGCGGGAUGACGGCCUUCGGGUUGUAAACCGCUUUCGCCUGUGACGAAGCGUGAGUGACGGUAAUGGGUAAAGAAGCACCGGCUAACUACGUG
rnacentral:rRNA from 1 species